rnacentral:lncRNA from 1 species
UGAUAUUAGUGAAGUUUGAUUACCUAUGACCAACUCUAUUGAAUCACGUACUCAACAUCGAUUUAGGACAUUUAAAUCACACAUGAAGUUACAGCUAAUUUCUGGUUUCAGAUAAAGCGAAUUAACUAAGAUCAACUACUUAGCAUUAUGGUCUUCUAAUUUCAAAGAUUAAAACAGUCCUACUUUGGUUACAGUAAACAACCAAUAAUAGCACAAAAAAAUAUCUAACAUAACAAACUACUAACUACUGAUUCAGCUGCUUAUAAACAGUCAUAAAUUCAAUUCAUAAUCCACAAGUCAGGCUUAGUUUCAGAACAAUCCUAUUACAGUCCAAUGUGUGUACAAAUCAAAAUUAAAAUAAACAAGCAUCUAUAACAUCUAAUUAACUAUCAAUACAUCAUAGUCCAAACUGGCGUGAUUUCCAGGAGCAAAUGAGCGAACAUUUUAUAGCAUUUCCACUUCGAAAUUACAUCAAGUAAAAAUUGAGAACGUGUACCUGAGUAUUUGAAAUAUAAGAAGAACAGGAAGUUAGCGACAAUUCAACAGAAAAAAUCAAAUAUAGUCCAGAGGUUUAACUCGACAGCCCAGGAGAAAUUCAAAAUCAAAUAGAAAUAGAAACUCGAACAACACACUUGAAUACACUCAGAUUGGCUUGAACUUAGACCAAAAAUUCCAGAAAACUUCAACUGAACUGUUAACCCUCUUGAACCUCAAUAAUCUGACUCAAAGUUCAACUAACAGAUCUCUGAACUUUCAGCAAUCAAUUAGAGAACUAGGAGAGGUAGAUUAAUGACUAGAAUAUAAAAAUUAACCUACAAUUUCCAAUGAAACAGUGACCUUUUUUGACUUUUUGAAGUUUUUGUUGUUUGAAGCAUUAGAUCUAAGAUCUGAUUUUGAAAUUCAAACCUGAAAUUCAGAUUUGCAGAGAAUGGAUUUUGGGGGGAAUUUUUGGGGUCUG